AUUGAACGCUGGCGGCAUGCUUUACACAUGCAAGUCGAACGGUAACAGGGUGCUUGCACCGCUGACGAGUGGCGAACGGGUGAGUAAUGCGUCGGAACGUGCCGAGUAGUGGGGGAUAACGCAGCGAAAGUUGUGCUAAUACCGCAUACGUACUGAGGUAGAAAGUGGGGGACCUUCGGGCCUCACGCUAUUCGAGCGGCCGACGUCUGAUUAGCUAGUAGGUGAGGUAAAGGCUCACCUAGGCGACGAUCAGUAGCGGGUCUGAGAGGAUGAUCGGCCACACUGGGACGGAUACACGGCCCAGACUCGUACGGGAGGCAGCAGUGGGGAAUUUUGGACAAUGGGCGAAAGCCUGAUCCAGCCAUUCGGCGUGUCUGAAGAAGGCCUUCGGGUUGUAAAGGACUUUUGUCGGGGAGGAAAUCCCCUGCGUUAAUACCGCUGGUGGAUGACAGUACCUGAAGAAUAAGCACCGGCUAACUACGUGCCAGCAGCCGCCGUAAGAC
rnacentral:rRNA from 1 species